rnacentral:rRNA from 1 species
GGCGCAACGUAGUGCGGCGUGCCUUAAUACCAUGCAAGUCGAACGAACUCUGGUAUUGAUUGGUGCUUGCAUCAUGAUUUACAUUUCCUUUUAAUGGCGAACUGGUGAGUAACACGUGGGAAACCUGCCCACAUUAAGGGGAUAACACCUGGAAACAGAUGCUAAUACCGCAUAACAACUUGGACCGCAUGGUCCGAGUUUGAAAGAUGGCUUCGGCUAUCACUUUUGGAUGGUCCCGCGGCGUAUUAGCUAGAUGGUGGGGUAACGGCUCACCAUGGCAAUGAUACGUAGCCGACCUGAGAGGGUAAUCGGCCACAUUGGGACUGAGACACGGCCCAAACUCCUACGGGAGGCAGCAGUAGGGAAUCUUCCACAAUGGACGAAAGUCUGAUGGAGCAACGCCGCGUGAGUGAAGAAGGGUUUCGGCUCGUAAAACUCUGUUGUUAAAUAAUAACAUAUCUGAGAGUAACUGUUCAGGUAUUGACGGUUAUUUAACC